UACAGAGGGUGCGAGCGUUAAUCGGAAUUACUGGGCGUAAAGGGCGCGUAGGCGGUUAGUUAAGAUGGUUGUGAAAUCCCUGGGCUUAACCUAGGAACGGCAACCGUGACUGGCUAGCUGGAGUGCUGUAGAGGGUAGUGGAAUUUCCGGUGUAGCGGUGAAAUGCGUAGAUAUUGGGAGGAACACCAGUGGCGAAGGCGGCUCACUGGACCGGUUCUGACGCUGAGGCGCGAAAGCGUGGGGAGCAAACAGG
rnacentral:rRNA from 1 species